GCUAAUAUCCCAUGGUCGACACGAGGGGGCGAUCCCCACUGUGUGUAAAGAUUCAUUGGUUAGGGAUGGGCGAUGCGUAUUAUUAGGUAGUUGGCGGGGUAACGGGCCCGACCCAAGCCGACGAUGAUUAGGGUUCUGAGAGGAUUAACCCCACACUGGAACUGAGACACGGUCCAGACUCCUACGGGAGGCAGCAGUAGGGAAUAUUGGGCAAUGGAGGCAACUCUGACCCAGCCAUGCCGCGUGCAGGAAGACGGCCCUAUGGGUUGUAAACUGCUUUUAUCGUGGAGUAAACCCGGCCACGUGUGGCCGGUUGAGAGUACACGAGGAAUAAGUAUCGGCUAACUCCGUGCC
rnacentral:rRNA from 1 species